rnacentral:rRNA from 1 species
UACGAAGGUCCCAAGCGUUAUCCGGAUUUAUUGGGUUUAAAGGGUGCGUAGGCGGACUAUUAAGUCAGUGGUGAAAGCUUCCUGCAUAACGGGAAAAUUGCCAUUGAUACUGAUGGUCUUGAGUACAUUUGAGGUGGGCGGAAUGUGUCAUGUAGCGGUGAAAUGCUUAGAUAUGACACAGAACACCGAUUGCGAAGGCAGCUCACUAAACUGUAACUGACGCUGAGGCACGAAAGCGCGGGGAGCAAACAGG